UGACACUAUUCUUCAGCACCUUAUUUCUCCAGUUCCAUUUUAUUAGCAGUGUUUCUCUGUAUCUUGCUGGAAGCAUCUGCUCUUUCAUCAUCUAGUGUUUAUUUUACCUGAAAGGGGAAAACAUGGUACAUCCUCCUCUCCUGUAACCACUAUCAUGAUGUCUCACAAAUGGUGAUACCGUUAGUUUCUUUAGGGUUAUUUUCUUUAUGAUCCACUCUUUUCCCCCGAGGAUGGAGGAAGAAAGAAGAAGGAAAAAAGAUGGCAGUGAAUGGCAACUGAGAAGAAAUGAGCAUUGGAGAGAGGGAAAGAGUGGAAGGGCCAGUACAAAGAAAUUAUUAUACUGUGGACCUGAAAAUAGAGGAAUUUGGAGUUUUCAGAAGAUGGUUCAAGAAAACAAAAGGAACUAUAAUUGAGACAGUGAACAGAGCUCUGAGAACCUUACAUUAUGAAGUAAUCUGAUUUUUUCAAGUGAUGCAAAAACAUCGAAGGAAUUCAUGACAGCAAAAGUCCUCCUCAUCCCAUACAACUGUACUUGCCAUAAUAGAGAUCAAUAUCUGUAGCACAGGGGGAGAAAGAUGUCUCUAUAUACUUCAGAGUAUGUUUUCAACUUUAUAAAAAGGUAAUCCUGAUGGUAUAAAUAGGUCCU
rnacentral:lncRNA from 1 species